AACGAACGCUGGCGGCAGGCCUAAUACAUGCAAGUCGAGCGCUCUAGCAAUAGAGAGCGGCGCACGGGUGCGUAACGCGUGGGAAUGUACCUCUAGGUGCGGAACAACGUCGGGAAACUGACGCUAAUACCGCAUAAUAUCUCCGGAUCAAAGAUUUAUCGCCUAGGGAUCAGCCCGCGUUGGAUUAGCUAGUUGGUGAGGUAAUGGCUCACCAAGGCGACGAUCCAUAGCUGGUCUGAGAGGAUGAUCAGCCACACUGGGACUGAGACACGGCCCAGACUCCUACGGGAGGCAGCAGUAAGGAAUAUUGGACAAUGGAGGAAACUCUGAUCCAGCCAUGCCGCGUGAGUGAAGAAGGCCUGUGUAAG
rnacentral:rRNA from 1 species